rnacentral:rRNA from 1 species
GAUGAACGCUGGCGGCGUGCCUAAUACAUGCAAGUCGAGCGAACAGAUGAGGAGCUUGCUCCUCUGACGUUAGCGGCGGACGGGUGAGUAACACGUGGAUAACCUACCUAUAAGACUGGGAUAACUUCGGGAAACCGGAGCUCAUACCGGAUAAUAUAUUGAACCGCAUGGUUCAAUAGUGAAAGACGGUUUUGCUGUCACUUAUAGAUGGAUCCGCGCCGCAUUAGCUAGUUGGUAAGGUAACGGCUUACCAAGGCAACGAUGCGUAGCCGACCUGAGAGGGUGAUCGGCCACACUGGAACUGAGACACGGUCCAGACUCCUACGGGAGGCAGCAGUAGGGAAUCUUCCGCAAUGGGCGAAAGCCUGACGGAGCAACGCCGCGUGAGUGAUGAAGGUCUUCGGAUCGUAAAACUCUGUUAUUAGGGAAGAACAAAUGUGUAAGUAACCAUGCACGUCUUGACGGUACCUAAUCAGAAAGCCACGGCUAACUACGUG